ACUCCUACGGGAGGCAGCAGUGGGGAAUAUUGCACAAUGGGCGCAAGCCUGAUGCAGCCAUGCCGCGUGUAUGAAGAAGGCCUUCGGGUUGUAAAGUACUUUCAGCAGUGAGGAAGGUGGGUAUGUUAAUAGCAUAUUCAUUUGACGUUAGCUGCAGAAGAAGCACCGGCUAACUCCGUGCCAGCAGCCGCGGUAAUACGGAGGGUGCGAGCGUUAAUCGGAAUUACUGGGCGUAAAGCGCAUGCAGGUGGUUUGUUAAGUCAGAUGUGAAAGCCCGGGGCUCAAACCUCGGAAAUUGCAUUUGAAACUGGCAAACUAGAGUACUGUAGAGGGGGGUAGAAUUUCAGGUGUAGCGGUGAAAUGCGUAGAGAUCUGAAGGAAUACCGGUGGCGAAGGCGGCCCCCUGGACAGAUACUGACACUCAGAUGCGAAAAGCGUGGGGAGCAAACAGGAUUAGAUACCCCCGGUAGGCUACUGC
rnacentral:rRNA from 1 species